rnacentral:rRNA from 1 species
UACCUUGUUGCUUCGGCGGGCCCGCCGUUUCGACGGCCGCCGGGGAGGCCUUGCGCCCCCGGGCCCGCGCCCGCCGAAGACCCCAACAUGAACGCUGUUCUGAAAGUAUGCAGUCUGAGUUGAUUAUCGUAAUCAGUUAAAACUUUCAACAACGGAUCUCUUGGUUCCGGCAUCGAUGAAGAACGCAGCGAAAUGCGAUAAGUAAUGUGAAUUGCAGAAUUCAGUGAAUCAUCGAGUCUUUGAACGCACAUUGCGCCCCCUGGUAUUCCGGGGGGCAUGCCUGUCCGAGCGUCAUUGCUGCCCUCAAGCACGGCUUGUGUGUUGGGCCCCCGUCCCCCUCUCCCGGGGGACGGGCCCGAAAGGCAGCGGCGGCACCGCGUCCGGUCCUCGAGCGUAUGGGGCUUUGUCACCUGCUCUGUAGGCCCGGCCGGCGCCAGCCGACACCCAACUUUAUUUUUCUAAGGUUGACCUCGGAUCAGGUAGGGAUACCCGCUGAACUUAAGCAUAU